rnacentral:rRNA from 1 species
AGUAGUUUGAUCAUGGCUCGAGGACGAACGCUGGCGGCGUGCUUAACACAUGCAAGUCGAGCGGAAAGGCUCCUUCGGGGGUACUCGAGCGGCGAACGGGUGAGUAACACGUGAGUAAUCUGCCCUUGGCUUCGGGAUAACUACCGGAAACGGUGGCUAAUACCGGAUAUGACCACUCCUUGCAUGAGGUGGUGGUGGAAAGUUUUUUCGGCCAGGGAUGUGCUCGCGGCCUAUCAGCUUGUUGGUGGGGUAAUGGCCUACCAAGGCUUCGACGGGUAGCCGGCCUGAGAGGGUGACCGGCCACACUGGGACUGAGACACGGCCCAGACUCCUACGGGAGGCAGCAGUGGGGAAUAUUGGACAAUGGGCGGAAGCCUGAUCCAGCAACGCCGCGUGAGGGAUGACGGCCUUCGGGUUGUAAACCUCUUUCAGUACCGACGAAGCGCCGAUGAUGGUGGUGACGGUAGGUACAGAAGAAGCACCGGCCAACUACGUG